GUCAUUGUUAUCAUCCUCGUUGUGGCGCUGUUGAUAUAUCGAGCCAGUCGUUAUAGCGCAACGUUAGACCAAAAACAAGAGAGAGCUCCAAACCAAGGGGCGCAACCCAGUGGCCAAUACAUGAAUCAAAACGAGGAGACUCGGAUCAGACGACAAGCGAGGGAGCUUGCGAAUUACAAUGAAUUAAGGCAAACUCAAGAAUAUCAACACGCUUACGAGGCAACAAACAUGUCUGAUACAGACACAGGAUAUGAUGAAAGCGAUUCGUCAUCAAAACACAAUUCACGGGCUUCUACUUACGACACUAUAGACAAAUAUUAAGUGUAUUUUCUCGUUACAUCAAGUACAAAAUAAUCGCUUUGUUUGUGACUUUGUCUUUUUAAUUGGAGAUUUUCAGAAUAAAUAAAAUAAUGUCCAAGUCGCUCAAUUGAGAAUCAAAAUGUUCAGCAAAGUAAAAGCUACAAACAGAAGAACUUAAAAAUAAAUACUUGAUUUUUCAACAUUUGCUUUGUAUCGUACUCCGGAUACACCAAGAAAUCUUGCUAUUUAUAGGUCUUCCGUCAUGUAGGGAAAUCUCCAAUAUUUAGAAAAUAAAAAACGACGUAACUCAUCCUUGUAAAAUUUGUUUGUUUAUUAAACAUUGUUCGAUAUUUC